rnacentral:rRNA from 1 species
GGCAUCAGGGUUCCCAUGACCAUGCUCGCCACGUUUGAGCUCCUCAAGCACACCCCUAAGCUUGUUGAGAAUGGCAAGAAGACGCUUAUUCUCCAUGGUACAAAGAUUAGCGCAGUUUCGAACUCCAUGCUGUCAGAUCUUUUUCACCUGAAGCAUGAUCAUUCCGUGAAGUACGCUAAGAAUAACGACAACAUCAGACCAUUUGAGAGUGGGGGUUAAACUUCCCUGGUGUUCUUCUCCCUUAAAUCUUACUACAGCCUUUUAUUCACAUUUGCUAUUCUGUAG